rnacentral:tRNA from 1 species
GCGACAGUGGCUCAGUUGGUAGAGCACGACCUUGCCAAGGUCGGGGUCGCGGGUUCGAACCCCGUCUGUCGCU